rnacentral:rRNA from 1 species
AUGCACGCUGGCGGCGUGCCUCAUACAUGCAAGUCGCGCGAACGGACGAGAAGCUUGCUUCUCUGAUGUUAGCGGCGGACGGGUGAGUAACACGUGGAUAACCUACCUAUAAGACUGGGAUAACUUCGGGAAACCGGAGCUAAUACCGGAUAAUAUUUUGAACCGCAUGGUUCAAAAGUGAAAGACGGUCUUGCUGUCACUUAUAGAUGGAUCCGCGCUGCAUUAGCUAGUUGGUAAGGUAACGGCUUACCAAGGCAACGAUGCAUAGCCGACCUGAGAGGGUGAUCGGCCACACUGGAACUGAGACACGGUCCAGACUCCUACGGGAGGCAGCAGUAGGGAAUCUUCCGCAAUGGGCGAAAGCCUGACGGAGCAACGCCGCGUGAGUGAUGAAGGUCUUCGGAUCGUAAAACUCUGUUAUUAGGGAAGAACAUAUGUGUAAGUAACUGUGCACAUCUUGACGGUACCUAAUCAGAAAGCCACGGCUAACUACGUG